rnacentral:lncRNA from 1 species
UUGAAUUGAGAUUUGAGAUUUGAGACUUUGAGAUUGAGAAUUGAAGUAUUGCAAAUUGGAGAAUGACCCCAUCUACUUUGAAAAAUUCAAAAAAAAUAAAAAUAUUUGACUGUUAAACCUGGUCGGUUCCGGUCCGGUUUGAGUACUGUUCACGAGUUCCGGUUUAGCAGGAUCCAGUUAACUGAAAAAAUUACUUAAACUACCAAACCCCUCCUACCCCCUACCCAGCCCACCCGACACCUUAUGAUCCGGGCCGGUCCGGUUCCCGGUUUGUACCGGUCUGGUAGCGGGUAAGCCCGACCCGUUAGACAGCUCGAAUCCAUGACUUUCUUGAUACACGGUAACAAUUUUACCAGCUAUGCCAAUGCUCCCCUUCGAUAUUUUCUUUAUCUUAUUUUAUUUAAUGUCAUUUGACUAGGCGUGCUAAAAACUAACUCGUAC